rnacentral:rRNA from 1 species
CGUUGGACAUCAGGAAGAACUCUGCAGACGAUCGAGUAUCGUUUCUGUGGAUGUAUUCCUUUAUACACCUAUUCUCCGUCGUGCACUUUAAUGUGUGGGGCGGUAGAUGGUGAUUGUCCACUUUGAGAAAAUUAGUGUGCUCAACACAGGCUUUGCGCUUGUAUAAUGCUGCAUGGGAUGACGGAAUAGGGCCUCGGUUCCGUUUCGUUGGCUUACGAAAGCAGAGGUCAUGAUUAAUCGGGACAGACGGGGGCAUUCGUAUUGUGGUGCUAGAAGUGAAAUUCUGUGACCAUCGCAAGACGAACAACUGCGAAAGCAUUUGCCAAGAAUGUUUUCAUUAAUCAAGAACGAAAGUUAGAGGAUCGAAGACGAUUAGAUACCGUCCUAGUUCUAACUGUAAACUAUGCCGACUGGGGAUUCGCCAGUGUCAACAAACUUGGCGAGCCCCCUCCGGGAAACCAAAGUGAUUGGGUUCCGGGGGGAGUAUGGUUGCAAAAUCGAAACUUAAAGGAAUUGACGGAGGGGCACACCAGAAGUGGAGCCUGCGGCUCAAUUUGACUCAACGCACGAAAGCUUACUCGGUCCGAACACCGUGAGGAUUGACAGGUUGAAAGCUCUUUCUUGAUCCGGUGGGUAGUGGUGCAUGGCCGUUCGUAGUUGGUGAAGUGAUUUGUCUGGUUUAUUCCGAUAACGAACGAGACUCUAGCCUACUAAUUAGCGUAGUGAUCUCAUGUCGCUAUAAUGCUUCUUAGAGGGACAGGCGCAAUGAAAGGCGCACGAAGUAGAGCAAUAACAGGUCUGUGAUGCCCUUCGAUGUUCGAGGCUGCACGCGCGCUACAAUGGAGGGCGCAAAGCGCAUGUUGCCUCUUGAAAGAGAGUUGCAGAAUCGUAAAUAGCCUUCAUGACUGGGAUCGGAGAUUGAAAUUAUUCUUCGUGAACGAGGAAUUCCUAGUAAGCGCGAAUCAUUACUUCGCGUUGAUUAAGUCCCUGCCCUUU